UCAUGCUUGUAUUUUUUUUUUUCUCAGAAGGUGCAUUUUGUCCUUUUUGGAUACUGGAAUGCACCAUCAGACAUGGAGGACCUAAAGCCAAGUUUCAAAUGACUGAAGACUGAUCCAGAGAUGUCAGCCCUGAUGUCCCAGAAAGAGGAGGGAGCUUCAAAGGAAGAGGGGGAAAGAGAUGGCCCAGAGAGACCCAGUGGUGAAGCCACCCCCGUGGGAGCAGUUGGGGAAUCUGGACUGUCAAUGACUCACCUACCAUGAGAUGACCAAAAUUAUCCUAAUUUAAAA
rnacentral:lncRNA from 1 species